rnacentral:rRNA from 1 species
CUCAGAUUGAACGCUGGCGGCAGGCCUAACACAUGCAAGUCGAGCGGUAGAGAGAAGCUUGCAUCUCUUGAGAGCGGCGGACGGGUGAGUAAUGCCUAGGAAUCUGCCUGGUGGUGGGGGAUAACGUUCGGAAACGGACGCUAAUACCGCAUACGUCCUACGGGAGAAAGCGGGGGGAUCUUCGGACCUCGCGCCAUUAGAUGAGCCUAGGUCGGAUUAGCUAGUUGGUGAGGUAAUGGCUCACCAAGGCGACGAUCCGUAACUGGUCUGAGAGGAUGAUCAGUCACACUGGAACUGAGACACGGUCCAGACUCCUACGGGAGGCAGCAGUGGGGAAUAUUGGACAAUGGGCGAAAGCCUGAUCCAGCCAUGCCGCGUGUGUGAAGAAGGUCUUCGGAUUGUAAAGCACUUUAAGUUGGGAGGAAGGGUAGUAACCUAAUACGUUGCUACUUUGACGUUACCGACAGAAUAAGCACCGGCUAACUUCGUG